AUGCUAACCUGCCUUAGACGGGUACGGACUUCUUCCUUUUCAGGAUAUGGCAUUCCUACACAAAGAAUUACAACAGUAUCACACCACACAAUCAAUCAAAUGCAAAGCACAAAAGAAAUUGAGGUUCAAUCCUUCAUAGAUUUAGUAAACAUCUCCAUGGUGCUUAGAGCAGAAAGACUAUUUGGCAUGGUGUUUUACAGAAGCAACAAACUGCUAGCAAGAGUAAUGGAACCACAAUACAGUACUUCCAUAUUUACUGGAUUUGCUAUAGAGCACCACGAAUCUUGUAUAGCACGCAAUAUACAUUUUAAAGCAAACCCAUUAUGUGAACUGGAUUCUAGUUCUCGGCAAUUUGGAAGAAAAUGCAGCCUACUGAGAACCCAAACACCUUAA
rnacentral:rRNA from 1 species